UAGAGAGAGACAUGCGCGCAUAUCAAUAAGCGGAGGAAAAGAAACUAACAAGGAUUCCCUUAGUAACGGCGAGUGAAGCGGGAAGAGCUCAAAUUUGAAAUCUUCAAGGUUUUACCUUGACGAAUUGUAGUUUAAAGAAGUGUUUUCUGCUGAAGUUUUGGUAAAAGUUCUUUGGAAUAGGACAUCAUAGAGGGUGAGAAUCCCGUAUUUGACCAUUAUUUUCAGCUUUGUGAUACACUUUCAAAGAGUCGGAUUGUUUGGGAAUGCAGUCCAAAAUGGGUGGUAAAUUUCAUCUAAAGCUAAAUAUUGGCGAGAGACCGAUAGCGAACAAGUACCGUGAGGGAAAGAUGAAAAGAACUUUGAAAAGAGAGUUAAACAGUACGUGAAAUUGUCAAAAGGGAAGCGUUUGACACCAGUGUUGUUUUCUCGAAAAUCAAUUAAAAAUGGCUCGAUUUUGUAUUGCUGAGACCUUAAAAGCUCACUGUACAUUUUUCGUGUCUUUUUUAAUGCACUUUUCGUUUAACAAGUCAACAUCAGUUUCUUUUGUUGUAAAAGGGUCAUUGGAAGGUGGCUUUCUUUUCGGAGAAAGUGUUUAUAGCCUUUGGCCUCUGCAAUCGAAGAGACUGAGGUCUGCAGCGUAGACUCUUCGGGGUUAGAUACAUUUGUGCUAAGUUAUAGCUUUUUAUAGACAACUUGUUGACUAUAAUUAGUCUUGUAGCUUACUCGUUAUGCUAUUUUACCUACGCUUAGGAUGUUGAAGAUGUAGCACAUCAU
rnacentral:rRNA from 1 species